ACUGUGAACUUGACCGCUACACACCAAAACUAGUUGCACUGUAUCGACAGAAGUCCUCAAGGACUGGAAAGGGAGCAGAGGCACUGCGAGAGAUGCUGAGAAUUUAUGACUUGGAGGAAGAACAUGACAUCAACAUGCGACGCACUCUGGCUCUUCGUGGACUUCCAGUGUAUCUCCAGGAGGAUGACACUGAAUUCUACAAAACCUGUAAUGGUGAAGAUGAGAUGGAGACCACUGACACACCACUGGCGUUUCUCU